UACGAAGGGUGCAAGCGUUACUCGGAAUUACUGGGCGUAAAGCGUGCGUAGGUGGUUUGUUAAGUCUGAUGUGAAAGCCCUGGGCUCAACCUGGGAAUUGCAUUGGAUACUGGCAGGCUAGAGUGCGGUAGAGGAUGGCGGAAUUCCCGGUGUAGCAGUGAAAUGCGUAGAGAUCGGGAGGAACAUCUGUGGCGAAGGCGGUCAUCUGGACCAGCACUGACACUGAGGCACGAAAGCGUGGGGAGCAAACAGG
rnacentral:rRNA from 1 species